GCUUAAUCUCUCUCCAUCUAAAUUUGACACUGAACUAACACACAGGACGGAGCCAACAGCGAUGGUUUCCAGACCUGCCGAGCCUGAUGACUCCUCUGGGAUUGUUGCUUCUGUGAAAGCCAGGCUGAAGGCCCCGCUGCCAGCCCCUUCUACCUCCUCAGCUCAGAUGAUAUGUGGACUUCAG